rnacentral:rRNA from 1 species
UACGGAGGGUGCGAGCGUUACCCGGAUUUACUGGGCGUAAAGGGCGUGUAGGCGGUUAUGUAAGUCCGAUGUGAAAGACCGAAGCUCAACUUCGGGGACGCGUUGGAUACUGCAAGACUAGACGGCUGGAGGGGGUAGCGGAAUUUCCGGAGUAGCGGUGAAAUGCGCAGAUACCGGAAGGAACGCCAAUAGCGAAGGCAGCUACCUGGACAGCACGUGACGCUGAGGCGCGAAAGCGUGGGGAGCAAAC